rnacentral:lncRNA from 1 species
AAAGGAAGGAUACAAAUACAGAGAGUGACCAGUGCCUCUACAGCUACGCAGAAGCUUUUAGUACUCAUAGAAAUGGUAUUUCUGUUCGGUUGAAUAAUCCAAGAUGGAGCUCGAGAAUUAAAAUCAUUGUGGAUGCGAGGUAAGUGAUGUGUGAAACAAAACAAGAACGUGUUGAGAAAAUACCGGCGCUCCGCUGAACAUUAUUAGAGGUUUUUUUGAGGCGAUUGGCUUUGUAUUGAAGCAAUUUAUGUGGAACUAUGAAGGGAAGGGAAAAUACUAACUUUUUACUUACCGAGCGAGAGGGUCGUACUGGAGAACAUCGACCUGAGGUCGUGGCAGUACGGACCGAGUGCAGCGAGGGCCAACAUUCCUCAGUGCGGCUCGAGUAAGUACCAAAGUAGUUUACCACCAAAGUAGUUUUUACUACCAAAGUAGUUUUUUUAUAUGACACUCGGUCCCCAUUUAUUUAUCUUGCCGCCUUUCAUGAACAAAAACGCAUGGCUUAUGACCAUUUCCGUGAAAACAGUCUUAAGUCUUUGGAAGAUAUGAGAAUUUUUAACGUACAUUUGUCUAUGAUCAUUUUCCAAGUGAGGUAGACACCAGAGCUAAGAUGAGUGACACAAUGUGUUAUCGCAUCUGUGUUACCUGGAAAAGCACAAAAGGCCCCUGGAAGCUUUAUCUGGAUGGACAACUCCGGAGCAAUGGAACAGGCCGGUGAAGGAAAAUCACCAGAUUCCAGUCGGCGGAACAGUUGUUAUCGGACAACAACAAGAUAGAGUUGGAGGGGGCUUCCAAAGCAAAAAUAGUUUUGGACCGGGUGGGGUGACAGAAGUUAACCUUUGGAGCAGGGUCUUGUCAGCGAGUGAUAUUGCUGAACAGUAUGCAAACUGCUACAUCACCAAGUGCAACACUCUACAACUAUGUAACAUUUGGCACAUGCAUUCACAGACUGCCUCCCAGAAUCGAAGGCUUUCAACUUGCGGACAGUUAUACACGCGUGUGUGCGUGUCUAUGCGCGUGGGCAUGACGUAAUUUGCGUCACAAACGAACAACACUUGCAUCCAGAACGUAAACACAAUAUGGCGGCCAUUUUAAGGUGAAUACGGAAUGAACUGCCUAUUCUGAUACCACAGCAGGAGCAGAAAUGGCAGUUUAGAGAUCUCUCUCCUUCCCGUGCAUGUUAUCAGUCUGCUGUUCGUUGGUGCUUACAUGGAGAAUGUGACAUAAAAGCGGCUGGAAAACUCUAAAAUGAAGACAAGUUGCCAAGCCUUUGAUUCAGAGUGAGGCUGAAGGUGACCUUUGUUGGGAUUCCAGUCAAAUAAACUAUCACAAGGUAGUUGGAAUCGUUUAACAGAACGAACAACUUACAGAGCAAGCCAGUCCUUGCACGAGGUAACAAUGAAACACUGCUUAUGGCUGAUGAAAAGAAACCUGCCAGUGAAUGCUAGUCUGGUGACAUCACAUGAAAAUGAAUAUUGUCCACAGUCCUUGCCUUGUCCACUCCCUCUGUCUGGUCCCUGUUUUGUGAUGAAUGACAGAAACUGAGAACAACUUAUUGAAUUCAACAUGGUGGUGAAAGAUUGGAGGAAUAUGCAAAAGACAUUGUGUCUACGAUGGGUGUACAAUGUAGAAGAGGAGGAAAUGACUCUUAAAGUUCACUCACAUAGUCCAUGUGCUGCACACACUGCAUUGAGGUAAACAGGGAAUUGCUUAAGGAGACAAAUUGUGCCUGAUUAUAAUCGAUAUGAGAUUGAAAGUCGCUAGCUGAUGUCCUUAUCAUUCAGCAACAGAUUUUGAAAAGAAGCGUAGGAGAAGGAAAUGGGCUCAAGAUCACUCUUACGUCUAAAGAACCUAACCCUUAAGCUAACCCUAAGCAAGGAAGGAAGGCCAAGUAAAGCAAAGACCUCAAGUUGAAAAUGACGAUCAGAGAGAAGAAAAUGAUUGAAAGAGAAAGAAGAAAUAAAACGUCCAAGAAAGUAUCAGCGUGGAAAGGAAGGAUGAACUGACGAAAAAUCGGGGGUCGCUAGACGCAUGUGUGUUGUUAUAAAUGUUAGUACCACAAGGUAGAUAACUAUAAGAAAGUUUUAAGAAAGUUGUUUGUAGGGUGGGUGGGGGAUUAAAACUGUCUAAAAUGAUUGUAAUAUUACUGUAUUCUACGAUUGUAAGAGGAAGAUAGUAAUAUUACUCUUGUUACAUACAUGUAUAAUAAAAGAUUGUAUUGUAAUACUGUACUGUAAUAUAAGUUGACUGUUUUCAAAGAUGUAUACUACAGCGUACUGACUAAAAUUGACGGGUGUCGGAA